AGUGAACGCUGGCGGUAGGCCUAACACAUGCAAGUCGAACGGCAGCACAGUAAGAGCUUGCUCUUACGGGUGGCGAGUGGCGGACGGGUGAGGAAUACAUCGGAAUCUACUUUUUCGUGGGGGAUAACGUAGGGAAACUUACGCUAAUACCGCAUACGACCUACGGGUGAAAGCAGGGGAUCUUCGGACCUUGCGCGAUUGAAUGAGCCGAUGUCGGAUUAGCUAGUUGGCGGGGUAAAGGCCCACCAAGGCGACGAUCCGUAGCUGGUCUGAGAGGAUGAUCAGCCACACUGGAACUGAGACACGGUCCAGACUCCUACGGGAGGCAGCAGUGGGGAAUAUUGGACAAUGGGUGCAAGCCUGAUCCAGCCAUACCGCGUGGGUGAAGAAGGCCUUCGGGUUGUAAAGCCCUUUUGUUGGGAAGGAAAAGCAGCAGGUUAAUACCCCGCUGUUCUGACGGUACCCAAAGAAUAAGCACCGGCUAACUUCGUG
rnacentral:rRNA from 1 species